AUACUUACCCUACCGGAAAGAUAUUGGAUCAUAAAGGUGCCUUUCCCAUUCUGAGGCCCAUUCAUUGUGCUCUGAUUGUGCUGACCCCUGUAAUUUCCCCAAAUAUGGAAAAAUCUACUUCUCAAUUUGUGAUAGUGGGAGAGUGAGGGAGGGCUACAUUCAUACCUGCCUUCAG
ensembl:snRNA U1 U1 spliceosomal RNA